UAUAAUUUUUUAGGCAACGAUACAUAUCAAAGGUAAUAGAUAUUAAAAAAAGAAAUUGUAUCGGUUGAUAAAUGUCAAUUUUUCAUCCACGGGGAUAUUACGAUGUUCAGUUGGCAUUAUGGGAUAACGGCCUAAACGUUGAUGAUGACGGUACCGCAUGCAUCUAGAAGAGUCUAGAACAUUGCAUGCAUUUGAAUAAUUGAUGAGUCGUGUCAUAAUUGAUUAUGUGACUUGGUUAAUUGUGCAUUGGUGAAAUUUGGCGAAUGUUGUGAUUAUGUGGAUUGGUGUAUAUGUGUGUAUUGGUGGAUUUUGUUGAUGGUUGUAAAUAAUUGAGCUAUGCUCUAAUUACAUGCCUUACUUGUUUGUGGUUAUACACUUAGUAAAUCAAUUUGAUGAUAAUUGUUUUGAUAUUAAUGAUGAGGUGAGAUUGUGUAUGUAUGUAUAUGACUUAGUGAUUCCUUUGAUGAUGAUAAUUGCUUGCUUAUAACUUUGAAAUGAUGAAUUGCAUUUGUUGAGUUAAGUAUGAUAAAUGAAGAAUAAGGUGAGUAAUUCUUUCAUUGAUUGAUAUUGAUAAUGAUGAGUUUAUGUCGAUGACUUGAUUAGAGAUUGAAUAUGUUUGCUAUGCUAUGUUAGUAAUAUGAUAGGUUGAGGUGUAUGGAAUGUGGGAUAAUAAUCAUGUGAUGCUAGUACUCUAGGAGGGAUGGUUAUGUAUAUAUGUUAUGCAUGAAAUCCUUGAAAUGUUUAUGUUUGUUUAUGUUGAUUAUGAUUGAUGUGAAGCUUAACAUAGUGGUUUUGACCGCCUACCUGUUUGUAUGAAUGUGUAGACGGAGUGCAGUAGUAGUUUGCUUUUGGUGAGUGUUUGGAUAGCGAGAGCUAAUCUUCGUUAUCGUUUCUUGGAGUCUUAGAUUUAGGCUCUGAUUAGGACGUUGAUCUUUAUGUCUUGUUGGAUUUAUUUAUUAUUGAGAUUUUACCUAUAUGUCGGGAUUUGGAGAAUUUAUAUGAUGAUGUAUUUUGAUCUCAUGACAUGUAGACUUUGGAGAUGUAUGAUCUAUAUCCGCUGCAACUGUUGAUAAUUUUUAUAUAUAAAUGUUGUUUGGAUUUUGUUGAUGACAUAGCGUCUAUUUCUUGAAUAUUUAUAUUAUUCGUGUGUUUUAUCGCUUUAAUAGAAAUAAGCCGUUACACUUUUUCAAAACAAGUUAUUAUUCCUUCCAUCCAUCAUCACAAAAAAAAAAAAAAAGUUAUUAUUCCCUCCUUUAACAUCAUUGACAACCAAAAAUACAAUCAACAAAAUACUAAGAUUGCAAUUUAUACUCUUAAAACAAUAUAUAAUCAUCAAUAGUAAGUUUAAAUCAACACCAACAUUUUCAAUAAUUAAUUUAUUCUUCAUUGCAUCAAAUCCCAAGGGCCAACACACACAUAUAUAGAGAGAGAGAACAACUCGUAUUCAAUACAAAUUUAAGUCAGAAAUUGAAUGACAAAAAAUGACACCAGAAAUUGAAUCCCAAGGGCCAACAAAAUUGAAUUUUGAUGUAGACCAGCAUCCCAACCAACACCAGAAAUUGAAUGACAGAAAAUGACACUCACUGUAACAAAUACAGGAAAUGGAAGUGCGGCAGGUGAAGCCUUGGCCUUAUUUUAUUGAUGAGAUAACAUCGCAAGUGCACAGUUUAUCUAUGUAGUAAUAAAGAGUAUCGUUUCGACAGGAAUGAAUAUUUGAUGGAUUGAGUCUUGGAGCAAAAGAAAGGGGUUUUGGAGCUGAUUUGGUGCAAAAAUACGAAGAUUCGGAGACAAAAAUACAUCUCCCUCAAGUCAGAAGCUUGGCACGGCCGUGCUACCUCCCAGAACAACGUUUGCUACUUUUGCUUAGAUUUUAAGCUACUCUAUUUUAGUUUUACCAAAAAGCCCGUUGCUUGUGGAACAUUCUAGUGAUGUAAUUGCUUAGAUUCUAAGUCGAAUGUAAACUAUAAAUAGAGUAGCUAGC